rnacentral:tRNA from 1 species
AGCAGUGUGGCUCAGUGGAAAGAGCACGGACUUGGGAUUCAGAGGUCAUGAGUUUGAAUCCCUGCUCUGCCA